GGAAAUCACAGCCAGAGGCAUUCAUUAGACCACAGUUUCCACUUCCAUUUCUUUUAAAUUCAUUUGCAGUUUUAGAAUUGUUACGUACAAAUCACUUUUCGAGUCGAAACAGAAUUGGAUUCUUCUUCUAAUUGAAAUUUGACUCUCUGGAUAUGUGGCAUGUAAUAUUCCACUAGUAAGUAAUUCUUUUCUUUAAUGAAUUAUUGCUUUCUUUUGUGCAGUGGGAUUGUUUUUUCUUGAUUCUGCAGUUCGGAUAAAUAUCAAGUGCUGGAAAUCUUGGGGUUGUCAUAUGCUGCUUGAAUCUGGCUUAUCGCAAAUUUUUGAGGCGAUUUCAGCAUUAGUGAAUCAAGUUGACGUGAGAAUUCAUGGCAGGAAAGGUGUUUGCGUUUAUGCUUUGUCAAAGAAGUCUGAAUUGAGACUGAAAGUGGAAUGGAAUGAGCCAAAUUAUUCCGCACUUCGUAAUUCUCUUGAUGAUUUGAAAUGGAGAAUCUUGACAAUAAAAUAUUUAGGUUUUCAAGUUCUUGAGAUUUAAAGUUCUAUGAAAUUCUAACAAUUAGUAUGAGAUCUAAUUCCGUGUAAAACCAUAAAGACUAAAGGAC
rnacentral:lncRNA from 1 species